rnacentral:ncRNA from 2 species
UAUACCGUGGUAGGGAUCUCUUUCCUACAUGACAGUACUAAUACCCAGGGAAACUGUCAUCAGGCGAACUGCGGCGUUCUGCUGGCAAAACAUAGCUUCGGUUAUGUCAAUGGCUAUUGGAUUGGUCCAUGAAGCGAAAAAUAGUUUACUGUGUCACUCGUACCGAUAACCGCAUCAGGUCUUCUAGGUAAGUAGCCUAUGGCCAUUGAGGCAUGAUAGUUCAGGGAAUUCGGCCAAUUAGAGCUGUAACUUCGGGAUAAAGCUUGGCUCUGAUGAAAAUCAGAACCGAUUGUUACGCGGAGAGCCCAACUGUUUAAUAAAAACGUAGUGUCGCGCUGUGGUAGUAUAGCCAGUGAACGCGACAUGAAUCCUGCUCAGUGCUGUGUCUGUUAAUAUGGUUCAAGCCAACGAAGCACCGGUAAAUAGCUGGGGUAACUAUGACUCUUAUCAAAGUAGCGAAAUACCUCGUCACUUAAUUAGUGACCUGCAUGAACGGAGCUAUGAGGUUCUCACUGUCCCAAACUGUCUCUCAGCGAACCAACUGUAGUGGGAACGGUCACUAGAUAUCCAGCGGGGAAAGAAGACCCUGUAGAGCUUCACUUUGGUCUAGUCUUGUAUAGUUCCUGCGGGGGUGUAGACUAGGUGGGAGAGCAAUCGAUUCUGAAAAACCACUACCCUGUUUGGAAUUAUGCUUACCUAUCACAAGGAAUAGGACUAGAUAGAAAGUUUGGCUGGGGCGGCACACCUUCGAAAGAGCAGCGAAGGUGUCCUAAGUUGAGCUCAGUGAGGACAGAAAUCUCACGUUGAGGAUAAGGCCAAAAGCUCAAUUUACUGUGCCUUUUUGUACUAGGAUCAGUUACGAAAGUAAGGCCUAACGAUCCCUAAAUAGCCUCAGGUGCGUGAGGAUUGGGGUGACAGACAAGUUACCUCCGGGACAACUGGCUUGUGGCUGCUAAGAGAUCAAAUCAACGCAGCUUUUUGAUUCUUCGAUGUCGGCUCUUCCUAUCCUAGUGAUGUACAAGUUGCUAAGGGUCGGAUUGUUCACCCGUAUUAGGGAUCGUGAGCUGGGUUUAGACCGUCGUGAGCCAGGUUUGUUUU